UACGUAGGUGGCGAGCGUUGUCCGGAAUGAUUGGGCGUAAAGGGCGCGUAGGCGGCUGUGCAAGUCAGUAGUGGAAGCCCAGCUUUUAAGGUUGGAAGUGCUAUUGAAACUGUGCAGCUUGAGUGCAGGAGAGGUUAUCGGAAUUCCCGGUGUAGCGGUGAAAUGCGUAGAGAUCGGGAGGAACACCAGUGGCGAAGGCGGCUUACUGGGCUUCAACUGACGCUUAAGCGCGAAAGCUAGGGUAGCGAACGGGAUUAGAUACCCCGGUAGU
rnacentral:rRNA from 1 species